UACGGGGGGGGUAAGCGUUGUUCGGAAUUACUGGGCGUAAAGGGUUCGUAGGUGGCUUGCUAAGUCUGACGUGAAAUCCCUCAGCUUAACUGGGGAACUGCGUCUGAUACUGGCGAGCUUGAGUGCAGGAGAGGAACGCGGAAUUCCAGGUGUAGCGGUGAAAUGCGUAGAUAUCUGGAGGAAUACCGGUGGCGAAGGCGGCAUCCUGGACCGACAUUGACGCUGAGGAGCGAAAGCUAGGGGAGCAAACGGG
rnacentral:rRNA from 1 species